rnacentral:rRNA from 1 species
UGGGGAAUAUUGCGCAAUGGGGGAAACCCUGACGCAGCGACGCCGCGUGUGGGAUGAAGGCCUUCGGGUUGUAAACCGCUUUUGAUUGGGAGCAAGCUUUCGGGUGAGUGUACCUUUCGAAUAAGCGCCGGCUAACUACGUGCCAGCAGCCGCGGUAAUACGUAGGGCGCAAGCGUUAUCCGGAAUUAUUGGGCGUAAAGAGCUUGUAGGCGGUUCGUCGCGUCUGGUGUGAAAGCCCAUCGCUUAACGGUGGGUUUGCGCCGGGUACGGGCGGGCUAGAGUGCAGUAGGGGAGACUGGAAUUCCCGGUGUAACGGUGGAAUGUGUAGAUAUCGGGAAGAACACCAAUGGCGAAGGCAGGUCUCUGGGCUGUUACUGACGCUGAGAAGCGAAAGCGUGGGGAGCGAACAGG